rnacentral:snoRNA from 1 species
GAUGAAAAUUCUCCGGAAUCUCUGUACCGCCUUGAUGAUUCCCUUGAACCCUUUUCCAGCUGAUGACUGUAGGGUUUUGU